AGAGUUUGAUCCUGGCUCAGGAUGAACGCUAGCUACAGGCUUAACACAUGCAAGUCGAGGGGAAACGACAUCGAAAGCUUGCUUUUGAUGGGCGUCGACCGGCGCACGGGUGAGUAACGCGUAUCCAACCUGCCCACCACUUGGGGAUAACCUUGCGAAAGUAAGACUAAUGCCCAAUGAUAUCUCUAGAAGACAUCUGAAAGAGAUUAAAGAUUUAUCGGUGAUGGAUGGGGAUGCGUCUGAUUAGCUUGUUGGCGGGGUAACGGCCACCAAGGCUACGAUCAGUAGGGGUUCUGAGAGGAAGGUCCCCACAUUGGAACUGAGACACGGUCCAAACUCCUACGGGGCA
rnacentral:rRNA from 1 species